AACGAACGCUGGCGGCAUGCCUAACACAUGCAAGUCGAACGAGACCUUCGGGUCUAGUGGCGCACGGGUGCGUAGCGCGUGGGAACCUGCCCUUAGGUUCGGAAUAACUCCCCGAAAGGGGUGCUAAUACCGGAUAAUGUCUUCGGACCAAAGAUUUAUCGCCUUUGGAUGGGCCCGCGUUGGAUUAGCUAGUUGGUAGGGUAAAAGCCUACCAAGGCGACGAUCCAUAGCUGGUCUGAGAGGAUGAUCAGCCACACUGGGACUGAGACACGGCCCAGACUCCUACGGGAGGCAGCAGUGGGGAAUAUUGGACAAUGGGCGAAAGCCUGAUCCAGCAAUGCCGCGUGAGUGAUGAAGGCCUUAGGGUUGUAAAGCUCUUUUACCCGGGAUGAUAAUGACAGUACCGGGAGAAUAAGCGCCGGCUAACUCCGUG
rnacentral:rRNA from 1 species